UACGUAGGGGGCAAGCGUUGUCCGGAAUCAUUGGGCGUAAAGCGCGCGUAGGCGGCCCGGUAAGUCCGUUGUGAAAGUCAAAGGCUCAACCUUGGAACGCCGAUGGAUACUGCCGGGCUAGAGGCCGGAAGAGGCGAGUGGAAUUCCUGGUGUAGCGGUGGAAUGCGCAGAUAUCAGGAGGAACACCAAUAGCGAAGGCAGCUCGCUGGGACGGUACUGACGCUGAGGCGCGAAAGCGUGGGGAGCGAACAGG
rnacentral:rRNA from 1 species